GCAAUAAUGCUAUGACGAAAGAGACUCCUUCCAGAAAUGCUACAAGAUUUCAAAAUUGAUGAUGUGGCAGAGUUAAAAAAUAAAAUAUUGAAUAGUAUUUACUUUCCCAUUUCUUCUAUUCCCGUCCGCCUCUCCCAUUUUCUCCCAUUUCCGUCCGUCUCUCCCCUUUCCCCCAAAUCCACUCACAAAAUUGACUUUCCCGUUUCCCCCCAAAUCACUCUUCUGCUCGCUGCACUCAUCGUCACCGUUGAUCGGCACUGACGAAGAGCAUAUGACUCGAGCAUCCUCCAUUCACAACCGCAUUCACCUCCAUCCAAGCGAACAAUCUGUGUGUGAACAGUCCUCGACUCUGCACUCACCUCCCUUCACGGUCACACUCUGGCAAUAAUCAGUUAUCGACUAGAAUGAGAGGAAGGAAUUCGGGGUUUUGUCACGGUUGCAGAAGCAACACUCACUACUUUAGACAAUACCAAAAAAACGACGAUGCCCUUCGUGUAAACAAGGAUAUCGAAAAUGUUUUGAGAUCGAAUAGAAUACUAGUAACAAAGGGCGAUUCUUCUUCACUUGAAGUAAUUAUUGUGGAUAUUUUGAUUGGGUGAAAGAAGAAGUUUUAAGCAGGGAGUCGAGUUCUAUUCAUGAAGCGGUGAAUCAUGAGCCCAACGAGGAAGAUGAAGAGUUGCCAAGCAUCUUUGACAAGCCAGCUCGAAUAAGCGAGAAACGAGACGUGGACAUAUCAAUGCACUUGGCUUUUGGCAAGGGAAAAUGAAUUGUGAAGUGUGAUGGGAAAGGAAAGGGUUCGACUUAAACGGAUGAUUUGAAUUUGCUAUGUGGAUUAUUGUCCUUGUACGCUAUAAGAUGUAUGGUUAAUCUUGUCAAAAUAGUUCCAUCGUUUCACAUAUGAUUGUUAUUAGGUUCGCUAUAAUAUAUGUUAUGGUUUCUAGAACUUUAUGAUAUACUUGUUAUCGUUUUUGGAUU